AAAAAGCCAGCAACUACAAUCAGGAAAGAAUGCAGUGAAGAGAGUGAAAGAGUGAACUGUUUUGAUGGCAUUGUAAUAUACAAGAGUGAUGUCGAAACAUUAAAUGGAAGCAAGUGGUUGUGUGAUACCAUAAUUGA